rnacentral:ribozyme from 13 species
AAAAAAAGAAAAAAGCAAAGCUCUCACAUUCUUUGUGACUUUAAUGCUCUAUUCUCUUGCUUUUCCUGUAAUGUAUUUUCUGAACAAUUUUGAACAA